AAGUCGUAACAAGGUUUCCGUAGGUGAACCUGCGGAAGGAUCACUAAAGUAAACGCCCUCCGGGGCUCUCUUUAAUUCACACACCCCUGUGCACUUUGGCCAUGCCUCGCCGCGCUUUACUGCGUUAGUAGGUGUGUCUUUUAACUAUACUACUAUAUACACAAGUCAUUGAAUGUAAAUCGUUAAUAAACUGAUAUAA
rnacentral:misc_RNA from 1 species